rnacentral:rRNA from 1 species
CCUACGGGUGGCUGCAGUGAGGAAUAUUGGUCAAUGGGCGAGAGCCUGAACCAGCCAAGUCGCGUGAGGGAGUACUGCCCUAUGGGUUGUAAACCUCUUUUGUCGGGGAGCAAAAGCCGGACGUGUCCGGCUGUGAGAGUAACCGAAGAAAAAGCAUCGGUUAACUCCGGGCCAGCAACCGCCGUAAUACGGGGGAUGCGGGCGUUAUCCGGAUUUAUUGGUUUUAAAGGGGGCGCAGGCGGAUUUUUAAGUCAGCGGUCAAAUCGUGGGGCUAAACCCCAUACAGCCGUUGAUACUGGGGGUCUUGAGUAUACGAGAGGUGUGCGGAAUGCGUGGUGUAGCGGGGAAAUGCAUAGAUAUCACGAAGAACCCCGAUUGCGAAGGCAGCAUACCGGUGCACAACUGACGCUGAGGCUCGAAAGCGUGGGUAUCGAACAGGAUUAGAUACCCCUGUAGUC